rnacentral:rRNA from 1 species
ACUGAACGCUGGCGGCAUGCCUUACACAUGCAAGUCGAACGGUAACAGGUCUUCGGAUGCUGACGAGUGGCGAACGGGUGAGUAAUACAUCGGAACGUGCCUAGUAGUGGGGGAUAACUACUCGAAAGAGUGGCUAAUACCGCAUGAGAUCUACGGAUGAAAGCAGGGGAUCGCAAGACCUUGUGCUACUAGAGCGGCCGAUGGCAGAUUAGGUAGUUGGUGGGAUAAAAGCUUACCAAGCCGACGAUCUGUAGCUGGUGUGAGAGGACGAUCAGACACACGGGGACUGAGACACGGCCCAGACUCCUACGGGAGGCAGCAGUGGGGAAUUUUGGACAAUGGGCGCAAGCCUGAUCCAGCAAUGCCGCGUGCAGGAUGAAGGCCUUCGGGUUGUAAACUGCUUUUGUACGGAACGAAAAGCCCUGGGUUAAUACCCUGGGGUCAUGACGGUACCGUAAGAAUAAGCACCGGCUAACUACGUGCCAGCAGCCGCCGUAAUAC